rnacentral:tRNA from 1 species
AGGCUAUUAGCUUAAAUAGUAGAGUAAUCUACUAUAUUGUACAUGGUGUGGGUUCAAACCCCACAUAGUCUA